rnacentral:lncRNA from 1 species
AACUCUUAGUUCCAGCACCUAACACUGGGUAGCUAGCUCACAACUAUAACCCCAGCUCUAGGGGAUCCAUAGGCGCCUACGCUCACGUGCACGUAGCCCCCCCCCCAACACCCUCACAACAUAUUUAAAAAUCAAUCUUGGGGGAAGAAAGGAGGGGUUGCAUUAGAUCAGCCUUGGUUUGUGAGGUAGUUCAAUCACACAAGACAACAUCAGAAGACAGAAGAAGACCAGACAUGGCAGAGACGGUGAGGAGAGAGGUUGCAAUGUCAGAGCAGGCUGUGGGGGCUGGCUGAGAGACAGAUCAAUGCCGCCAUUUUAGCUACCAACAGCCAGCAGGGAAACUCAAAUGUGGGCCCUGCCACAGAAGGGAAAUGCGAUCAGGCAACACAGAUGCUUCUCCAGAGCCAAUGAAGAACAAAGCUCUGCCAAUACCCUGUUUAAACCAAAGAGACCGACCGGGGUGUGGCUCUGAGGUCAUACACUUCUUUGUGUGUGUGUAGCAUGUGCUGGUAUACACAGGUGCACACAUACGUGUGUGUCCAUACAUACCUCUGUAUCAGAGGACAACCUCGGACGCUGUUAGAAGCUGUCUACUUUGUUUUGGGAGGCACAGUCCCUCUUCUGGCCUGAGGCUUCCAGAGCAGGCCUGGCUGGCCAGAGAACUCCAGGGAACCAGCCACCUCUGCCUCCUUAAUUCUCAGCUCAUAAAUGCACACCACCAAGCCUGUUUUUUUGUUUUGUUUUGUUUUUUAACAAGGGAGUUGUACUCAGAUCUCCCCAGCUGUACCCAACAUCAUGUGUCCUCUCGUGGGUGUCACAGGGCAUUUCUCUUCGCAUAUAAACGGGUGAAAUAUGGAAGAGGAAUUGCUAUCUUUUUACUUCAAGCAUGGCAAUGACACGGCUCUAUAGCCUUGGAAUUGAGGGAGCCAUUACUUUCCUAAAACUUCUCUUUCCGGUUGUUUCCAUCUCACAGGAUGAAGGCAAUUAGUAUACGGCUGAGCGGAAGUAUUCACUCAGUAAUGUAUAAAAGAAUUUAGAGGAAUGUCUGGUCCAGAGCAAACUGCUUCCUUUGUCUUGCUGCUACCGUUAUAAAACACACCCAGAGGUGGCAGGCAUUCCACUAUUACUUUUGCUUCCCAAAUCUGAAUUGUCCAGCCCAGUAAGCGCAGCCCUGGACUCCCAUCCCCAGCCUAGGCUUCACAGUC